AGGUGUGAGGAGAUGAGAUGUAGUCGUUGUUUAGGGUUAGGGCACUAGGGGAUGGAGGUCUGAGUAGAUGAGAUGUAGUCGUUGUUUAGGGUUAGGGCACUAGGGGAUGGAGGUGUGAGUAGAUGAGAUGUAGUCGUUGUUUAGGGUUAGGGCACUAGGGGAUGGAGGUGUGAGUAGAUGAGAUGUAGUCGUUGUUU